GUGGCUGUACUUUAGUGGUAAAAUCCACACUGUUAUGUGGAGACCUGGGCUCGAAUCCCAGCAGCCACG
rfam:Jatropha curcas cultivar GZQX0401 scaffold473_21, whole genome shotgun sequence.